GUGACCUCAAAUCAGGUAGGACUACCCGCUGAACUUAAGCAUAUCAAUAAGCGGAGGAAAAGAAACUAACAAGGAUUCCCCUAGUAACUGCGAGUGAAGCGGGAAAAGCUCAAAUUUAAAAUCUGUCAGUCUUUGGCUGUCCGAGUGGUA
rnacentral:rRNA from 1 species